CUUCAUGACUCAGAGCUGCUGCUACAGCAACUUCACCCACAGCUACCAUGACUUUGAUCCCCGUCUUCAUCUGGACACUGAUCCUCUGGACUCAAGAAUGCAGAGGUCAAGCCACAGUAACUCAGACUCCUGCAGUGAAAUCUGCUCUUCCAGGAGAAACAGUCACCAUCAACUGUAGAACCAGUCAGGCAGUGUACAAGGACUCAACUGGUGACCGCUUACACUGGUAUCAGCAGAAACCUGGAGAAGCUCCUAAACUACUGAUUAAAUAUGUGAAUCAGUUACAGUCAGGUUUUCCAGCUCGUUUCAGUGGCAGUGGAUCUGGAUCUGAUUUCACUCUGACCAUCAGUGGAGUCCAGACUGAAGAUGCAGGAGAUUACUACUGUCAGAGUGCACAUUCCAUCACUGGCUACUGGUUCACACAGUGUUAUAGAGUCGUACAAAAACCCCCCUCAGUCAGAUUGUAGAGAGACUGCACUGCUGCAGCUGGGAGCGACUGCAGGUGCUGAGUUGGAGGAUGUGAUACGACACAAUGACACUCUGUGGAGGAGAGGAACCUCACCACACUAACUCACAACUCACAUUAGAUAUCUCUCAAUAAUCAUCACACCACACUGCACACAGUCCAUCACAUUCACUAAUAUAAGACAAAUAUUUUCCCAGUUUUCUCAGUCGUGGUGCUACCCGUCACACCUGAAACAUCUUUAGAAAGAACAAUAGCUUUAGAGAUUACAGAUUAGUAUCUGCAGUGAAGGCUGGUUGUGAUACUUAGUAAGGGUGAAAUCCAAAUUUACUCCUCAUCACUAACUUGCUGUUACUAUUAUGAAGGCAUUAGAGAUGAGCCUCAUAACAUUCACUGUGAGACUCAAUCAGUCUCAUGGUAUAAGUAUAAAUAAUAGAUAUAUACUCUCAUUAAAACACACAUAGACGUCAAGAGUAAAUCAAGUGUUUAUGUCCGUAAUCAUGCCGUGAGUCUUCUGAAUAGCAACUAUGUUAAAUAGAAAAACUGUUCUUGCUGUUACCCAGUUCCUUUUUUUUCAAACCACACAAAACCAAUAAUUCUGUUGAUAGUUUUUUUUUGUGUAAUUUCCGUUGGCAAUGUGGUCUUACUGUACUUAUUGCUGAUACAUCUGCAUUUUAGAAGAAAACAGGAAAAAAAUCAUUAUUGAGAAAGCAAUCCACUUUGUUCAGUCAGUGCUGAUACAGUAUGUUACUGGUGUCUUAGCGACACAGGCUUAAAUAGAUUAGCUUCAAUGCCCUUGACUUAACUAGAGGUCGUUUCACCAAGUGUAAUCACUUGUCAUGACUGUCACUGAUUGACUGCAUUAAUCUACAGUCUGGACUAGAAAGAUAUCAGACCCAGUCUUUACUGGUAGUCAUUCUUUUUUUUAAUGACUGCUGGUGGUGGUGUAAAUAAAAAUCCACUUCACAUAACCAGCAAUUUAAGCAAUAUGAUUUGCAAAAAUGUAAUGUUUAUUUAUUUAUUUUUGUAUAUAAAUACAUACAGUUAGGUCCGGAAGUAUUUGGACAAUGACAGAGUUUUUGUG